rnacentral:tRNA from 1 species
UUUAAACCCUAAAUAUGAUUUAAAUACUCUUAUAUCA